UACAGAGGGCGCGAGCGUUGUCCGGAAUCACUGGGCGUAAAGGGCGCGUAGGUGGCGGCGUAAGGCCGCGGUGAAAGUUCGGGGCUCAACCCUGAAUCGGCCGCGGCGACUGCGUCGCUUGGGCACGGUAGAGGCAGAUGGAAUUCCGGGUGUAGCGGUGGAAUGCGUAGAGAUCCGGAAGAACACCGGUGGCGAAGGCGGUCUGCUGGGCCGUGGGAUCGGUAAGGUCCCUCAAGCCGACACUGAGGCGCGACAGCGUGGGGAGCAAACAGGG
rnacentral:rRNA from 1 species